rnacentral:rRNA from 1 species
AAGUGGAGCAAUCCAUGAGUACAGUGGCGUACGGGUGAGUAACACGUGGAUCAUCUACCUCUUGGUGGGGAAUAACCCUGGGAAACCGGGGCUAAUACCGCAUAAGCCUGCAAAGGGAAAGCAGCAAUGCGCCGAGAGAGGAGUCCGCGGCCGAUUAGCUUGUUGAUAGGGUAACGGCCUACCAAGGCAAUGAUCGGUAGCCGGCCUGAGAGGGCACACGGCCACACUGGCACUGAAACACGGGCCAGACUCCUACGGGAGGCAGCAGUGGGGAAUCUUGCACAAUGGGGGAAACCCUGAUGCAGCGACGCCGCGUGAGCGAUGAAGCCCUUCGGG